rnacentral:tRNA from 1 species
UUCCUGGUGGUUCAGUAGCUAAGACUCUGCUCUCCCAACUCAGGGGGGUCAGGUUCAAUUCCUGACCAGGGAA